rnacentral:rRNA from 1 species
CUCGAGGCCAGAUCUUUCCGGUUGAUCCCGCCGGACCUGACUGCUAUCGGAUUGAUACUAAGCCAUGCGAGUCUUUGUAGCAAUACAAGGCAGACGGCUCAGUAACACGUAGUCAAUCUACCCUAUGGACGGGGAUAACCUCGGGAAACUGAGAAUAAUACCCGAUAGAUCAUUAUGCCUGGAAUGGUUUAUGGUCGAAAUGAUUUUCGCCGUAGGAUGGGACUGCGGUCUAUCAGCUUGUUGGUGAGGUAAUGGCCCACCAAGGCUAUAACAGAUACGGGCUCUGAGAGGAGAAGCCCGGAGAUGGGUACUGAGACACGGACCCAGGCCCUAUGGGGCGCAGCAGGCGAGAAAACUUUGCAAUGUGCGAAAGCACGACAAGGUUAAUCCGAGUGUUUUCUGCUAAAGAAAUCUUUUGUCAGUCCUAAAAACACUGAUGAAUAAGGGGUGGGCAAGUUCUGGUGUCAGCCGCCGCGGUAAAACCAGCACCUCAAGUGGUCAGGAGGAUUAUUGGGCCUAAAGCAUCCGUAGCCGGCCGUGUAAGUUUUCGGUUAAA